UGCGCCGCGACAGGCCUCCCGGGCGCCAUUUUGUACGAUGCUCUUUCCCAUUUUAGGCGGGGAGGAAGGGAGCGGGAGUGGUCUCUGCGUUUCCCGGGGGGCUCUGCCUCGUCUCGGGCUAGGGGGAUGGGCUCCUGUGGGACUUCCUCCUUCCGGCUGAAGGCUCCGUCUUCUCUCCUGCCCGGAGGCGAUGGUGGCUGUAGCGAGCGGGUAGCGUUUCCCCUUCCUUAGCGCGGUGAUGGCGCAGCAGCCGGGGGGAGGGGGAAGCUCGGCGAAGCCGGACCCGGAAGUGAAGGGAUCUCUGAGGAGCCGCUCACCUAGCCCAUGGCCGCGGCGGAGGAGGAGGAGCUCCGUGAGGAGGGGGAAGUGGCAGCAGCCCGCAGUGAUGUCUGGGCCACGGAGGUGGGGCCGUACAGGAGGCGGCCGGGUACGGCAGCUGAAGUGCGUUGUGUGGCAAGCGUGCAUUCUAGUGGAGCCUGAAUACCAACCUCCUUUGAACCUCGGGACAUCUGUGCCACUGGAAUUGACAUCUUCCUACAAAACGCAAGGAGAAACAUGCCCACUGUACAAGACUUGAACCAUACGUUGUUGAAUGCACAUGUGAUCAGCUGAAGAUGCCACUGGAUUACUUUCUUUUUAUUCUUCCCUCCAAAGUUUCAGGUAAUUGUUUCUGAAUCACUUUAAACUAAAAACUCCAGGCUAGAUUUGCCUCAUAACUAACUGCUUAAAAUGCACUUCUAGUUGCCAAAACACUAGACAAAGUGAACUUUGUGCGGUUUAUUCUAUUCUGGAUUUGUAAAAUGGAGUUUUGAACCUGCUAAAUAAAAUUCUAUUGCUUACCUUAGCAUAUUUCUCUGCUUCUUCUCUGAUGUCUUUUGGAACAAUUUCGUGUUUUCCUUUUGUUACUGUGAAUGAAGCCAUAUUUAUAAAGACUUUAGAAAUUACUGGUAUAAGCAUGGAACUUGUAAGUCUCAAAGUAACAAACUUCAUGAUAGAAGCAACAAUAGAAACUACAAACAUUAACAGGUAUAUUACUUUCCCCGUAGUAUGGGUGGAGUUUAGAAUUUGAGUCUUGAAUUUGUUUUACAAGUUUACACAGUUUACACAGAACUGCCAUCAGUUUUAAUUUGUUCCAUUCUAUAAUUUAAAAUGGUGUAACUAAAGAUAACAAAACAAGGAAAAAUGAAAUACAUUACUUUCUCCAACCCAGCUGAGUUCAAGUUCAAAAGAUUUAUCCUUCACUUCAUCAUGGACUAUGUAGAUUCUAGAAAGAAGAAUGAAGAAAAUGUUUAUGAAGAGUUAGCCACUGACAUUUUCCCUUCCCAAAGCCAAGGAUUAAUAUGCAAAAUGAACAAUUACAUUACAUUACAAAGUUCUAUUUGCCCCCUCCCUUCUUUCCCUGCUAGUUUGUAGUAUCACAAUUUUCCUGUUUAACAUGUUUCUCUUGUAUGGUAAAGGACCCACACACCAGUAUUGUAUAUAGUAGUUU